rnacentral:rRNA from 1 species
UACGUAGGGAGCAAGCGUUGUCCGGAAUCAUUGGGCGUAAAGCGCGCGUAGGUGGCCUCAUAAGUCCGCUGUGAAAGUCAAAGGCUCAACCUUUGAAAGCCAGUGGAUACUGUGAGGCUAGAGUACGGAAGAGGCGAGUGGAAUUCCUGGUGUAGCGGUGGAAUGCGCAGAUAUCAGGAGGAACACCAAUAGCGAAGGCAGCUCGCUGGGACGUUACUGACACUAAGGCGCGAAAGCGUGGGGAGCGAACAGG